rnacentral:rRNA from 1 species
UACGUAGGGACCGUGCGUUGUCCGGAAUCAUCGGGCGUAAAGAGCGUGUAGGCGGCCUGGAAGGUCAGCUGUGAAAACUCGAGGCUCAACCUCGAGACGUCGGUUGAAACCACCUGGCUAGAGUCCGGAAGAGGAGAGUGGAAUUCCCGGUGUAGCGGUGAAAUGCGCAGAUAUCAGGAGGAACACCGGUGGCGAAGGCGGGACUCUGGGCCGAUACUGACGCUGAGGAGCGAAAGCGUGGGGAGCAAACAGG